GUCAUAGCUCGGUGCUAGCAGAGCAUCUGCUUUGCAUGCAGAAGCUUCUAGGUUCAGUCCCUGGCAUCUCCA